AGGAAACAGAGGCUACAAUUCAUACAGGCUCACCAAAAUUGGACAAAAGAAGAUUGGAAAAAUGUUGCCUGAAAUCUCAGCGCAGAUAUCACAAGUAAAUGGGGGAGCAAGAGGAUGUUCCGCAAGAAACGUGAGGAGAUUUUGCAGUGAAAAUGGAUUAAGUUUGAUGGGACUCCCUGACGCACAUUUGGAGUUGGAGGUGGCAAAAGCUAUAACCGAGACUGGACCUACAUAUGGAAGAAAGAUGAUGAAGGUGUAUCUCGCCAUGAAAGGAGUGCAUGCUGCAGAAACACGAAUUGGAUCAGCGCUCAGAACUAUGCAUCAGCCAUACCAUGAAGCAAGACGUCAGGGUGCCCGCAAUCUCAACCCCAUACCAUAUCAAGCUGAUUACAUGGGUCAAAAGGUUCAUAUGGACCAAAACGAAAAACUGGCUAUGUUUGGGGUUACCCAUGUUUUAGCCAUUGAUGGCUUCAGCAAAAAGAUUGUUGCUCAUUCUACAAUGCCUAUAAAAAACAACCUUGCCAUCUAUGAAGAUGUUUUCAGGCCUGCAGUACUUGCCUAUGGUAUGUGGGACCAGGUACGAGUAGAUCAUGGCAAGGAGUUUUAUUUGACGCUUUUCAUGCAGGAGCUGCUGUCAUCUCACCGCCAUAAUCAGGAGCGAAGGCCAUAUUUACAGACUUCAUCCACAAAGAAUCAUAUAGUUGAACGAAUCUGGCCUGAAGUCAACAAUCAUGUCAACUAUCCACUGAAGACAGCACUUACGGGGUUGGUGGAUCAAGAGGAAAUAGACAUGAACGACUCCCUUGUGAGAUAUUGUGUGUCCAACCUUACUGGCCGCUUGUGUGAGAUUGGUCUUACAAGGCUGGUGGAGUCAUGGAAUGCUCAUAGAAUUCCAGGUAAAGGAACACCAAAUGACUUGGCUGGCCGUGGGUGUCCCAAAAAAAUCCAACAGGAGCUGUUGCCUCAUUCAGCUGAAGCAGC
ensembl:lncRNA